rnacentral:lncRNA from 1 species
CUCUCGGACUCCGGCGCUUUGCCUUCAACCAGCCGGUACUUUUAGUGGAGAAACUGAGACCCUACAGGUCUUGGGGAUUCACUCAGACCCCCGGGAGUCUUACUAUAUUGCUCACGCUGUUCUCCACCUCCUGGGAUCCAAACGCCCAGGUCAGCUUCCAGAAUCGAAGGGAAGAUGGAUGUGUGUGCUACCUGCCUGGCAAGCCCUAAAGUCACAGAAACGUGGGUGCACUGAAUGUCUGUUCUACUAAAGAGUGUGGUCCUUCUGACCUUGGGAUGAAUCGCUUCCCUUUUUGGGCCUGUUUAUUCAAGUUAUUGUGAAAUAAUUCCCUUAACGUUAGUUAUCUUUCCUACUUUUGUUGUGUGUUUGUUUGCUGUUUGGUUCUGAGAUAGGUUUCACCACUGCACUCUAGCCUGCUUACUUUUGAAGUUUCCUUUUCCUCCUGAGCACACAGAUACUCAGGUGUGGAGGUCAGAGGACAGCGUGUAGGAGUUGGUCCUCUCUUCCCAUCAUGUGCAUCCUGUCCUGGGGAUUGUAAUGAGGAGGCUUGACAGCAAGCACCUUCAUCUACUGAGCCAUCUUGUUAACCCUGAAGUGUACUUUUUAAAAAAUACUCAGGAGGCAGAGACAGGCAAACUCUUUGAGUUUGAGGCCAGCCUCAUUUACACAGUGAGUGGGACAGAGCUACAAAUUGAGACUUUUAUUUAUUUAUUUUAAAUUAUUUUUGGGCUGGAGAGAUGGCUUAGCAGUUAAGAGAAGAAAGCAUACUCGCAUAAAU